rnacentral:rRNA from 1 species
GACGAACGCUGGCGGCGUGCUUAACACAUGCAAGUCGAGCGGUAAGGCCCUUUCGGGGGUACACGAGCGGCGAACGGGUGAGUAACACGUGGGUGACCUGCCCUCAGCUCUGGGAUAAGCCUGGGAAACCGGGUCUAAUACUGGAUAUGACUCCAUGACGCAUGUUGUGGGGUGGAAAGCCUUGUGCGGCUGAGGAUGGGCCCGCGGCCUAUCAGCUUGUUGGUGGGGUGANGGCCUACCAAGGCGACGACGGGUAGCCGGCCUGAGAGGGCGACCGGCCACACUGGGACUGAGACACGGCCCAGACUCCUACGGGAGGCAGCAGUGGGGAGUCUUGCGCAAUGGGCGAAAGCCUGACGCAGCGACGCCGCGUGAGGGAUGACGGCCUGGUGUAACUACUUCUA